ACAGGUGGUGCAUGGCUGUCGUCAGCUCGUGUCGUGAGAUGUUGGGUUAAGUCCCGCAACGAGCGCAACCCCCUUUUUUUGUUGCCACCGGGUUAUGGUGGGGACUUUUGAGAGACUGCCGGUGUCAAAUCGGAGGAAGGUGGGGAAGACGUCAAGUCUUCAUGGCCCUUAUGUCCAGGGCUUCACACGUGCUACAAUGGGCCGUACAAAGGG
rnacentral:rRNA from 1 species